rnacentral:lncRNA from 1 species
CAGGACUUCAGACCACUUAAGAACAAUGGUCACAGAAAGAGACCAGGUGUUAGAGCUUAAGAAGGAGCCUUGUGCAUCUUGCUAAGGAAACUUCAGUCUCUGUGCUAGUAUUACUCUGGCAAUGGGCUGACUGCUGAAGGAACUUGACCGCAGUUUCAGCAGUGUCCUUAGAACGUAACAGGAUGAGGCAAACAAGGCUGCUUUGUUUUUUCUGCUGAGACAGGCAUAGAGGCUGGAGCUCACAGUCUGACAUUCUCCCCUGUGCUGUGGAGCCAGGCAGAUAAUAUUAUGUGUGGGUUAUGCCCAGUUUCCCAUCCUCCCACCUCAUAUUCUGGAGAAGUAAUGACAUCUCUUUUCCUCCUGCUCAAGAAGGCAUUCUGUAGGGUUAUUUCUGGACACAGUAAUCCUUCAGCAAUACAAUUACCAAGUUAUUCAACAUGGAAGGCUUUGCCAAGACAGUGGUGGCUGGGAUUUGACCCUCUAAGUGUGAGCACAUCACUUCAGCCCCAGGGUUGGAUUAAUUAAGGCCUGCAUGCACACUCCUCCUCCCAUCCUGAGAAUGAUGGUAAAGGUCACAGCUACUAAAACCACAAAGGCCUCAAUGACAUCCUAUUUCAGUGUUAGAAUUCCAAGAAGGCUUUUGUUAAAAUAAACAUCAAGAGAUUUUAAAUAAACU